AUUGAACGCUGGCGGCAGGCUUAACACAUGCAAGUCGAACGGUAGCAGGAGAAAGCUUGCUUUCUUGCUGACGAGUGGCGGACGGGUGAGUAAUGCUUGGGAAUCUGGCUUAUGGAGGGGGAUAACGACGGGAAACUGUCACUAAUACCGCGUAUUAUCGGAAGAUGAAAGUGCGGGACUGAGAGGCCGCAUGCCAUAGGAUGAGCCCAAGUGGGAUUAGGUAGUUGGUGGGGUAAAUGCCUACCAAGCCUGCGAUCUCUAGCUGGUCUGAGAGGAUGACCAGCCGCACUGGAACUGAGACACGGUCCAGACUCCUACGGGAGGCAGCAGUGGGGAAUAUUGCGCAAUGGGGGGAACCCUGACGCAGCCAUGCCGCGUGAAUGAAGAAGGCCUUCGGGUUGUAAAGUUCUUUCGGUAUUGAGGAAGGUUGAUGUGUUAAUAGCACAUCAAAUUGACGUUAAAUACAGAAGAAGCACCGGCUAACUCCGUGCCAGCAGCCGCGGUAAUACGGAGGGUGCGAGCGUUAAUCGGAAUAACUGGGCGUAAAGGGCACGCAGGCGGUUAUUUAAGUGAGGUGUGAAAGCCCUGGGCUUAACCUAGGAAUUGCAUUUCAGACUGGGUAACUAGAGUACUUUAGGGAGGGGUAGAAUUCCACGUGUAGCGGUGAAAUGCGUAGAGAUGUGGAGGAAUACCGAAGGCGAAGGCAGCCCCUUGGGAAUGUACUGACGCCCAUGUGCGAAAGCGUGGGGAGCAAACAGG
rnacentral:rRNA from 1 species